GAAUUUAAUAUAAUUUUAAUUUAAUAAAUAAAUUAAGUUAUAUUUAAUUGGGAGGAUUAUUAAAUUUAAAAAACUUUAAUUAAAUAAUAAAUACUUUGAUAAAAGGCAUAUAAAUAAAUAAUUUUUAAUUAAUUAAGAAUUAAUUACCUUAGGGAUAACAGCAUAAUAUUUUUUUAUAGAUCAUAUAUAAAAAAUUGUUUAU
rnacentral:rRNA from 1 species